rnacentral:misc_RNA from 1 species
AUCUAGCCCCGAUAGAAGCGGUAUCCUUUUUUGCUUUUUCUGCAAAAAAGAUACAAGUGUCCCGAAGCUUCGGGAGCGGGA